rnacentral:lncRNA from 1 species
UUUAUGUUAUUACUCAGUGAAAAGUUGUAAUAGGAAGUAGAUUGUUACGUAAAUUAUUGUGCAGGAAAAGAUGUAUAAAUGGAAAUAUAUCAACCAAUUCUCGCANAGCGCAAGCCAAAUUCGCAGAGCCAGAAAAAAUAGAUUCGCACAGCGCACCAAGACCUGUGCNCUGAGCGAAUAAGAGAAGUUGAAAAAAAGAAAUUUUGGAAUUCGCUUAGCGCACACAUACUUGUGCGCUCAGCGAAUAACAUUGCAGCAAUUAAAAUAAAUUCGCACAGCGCACACACUCUUGUGUGCUGAGCGAAUUUAGGAAGUUAAGUGGCUCUUAAAAGACGUGACAGAGAAGCAGAAACUAUCUCCUGACACGAAAAAAAUAGAAGAACGCUCUGGAGAACUGGAGAAGACCGUCAGGAGACCCUUCAAGACAUCAAGACUUCACUUUCUGCAAGGAAUUGCUGUAAAGAGUACGUUUUAGAUGUCUAGG